GAUACAUGGAUCACACAAAGUACUUCUCCAAGAAAAGCCGAGGCAAAUGCACUGACAAGAUUCUUUCAAAGACGCAGAACACAAGCGACCAUGAAAGUAGAAUCUUCUUUGUUGAUGAAACUCAGCCUGGAUUGUUCAGUGUGCUCAUUAAAAACGUCAGUCUGCAGGAUGGUGGGACCUACAGGUGUGGAGUAGAAGACGCAGCAGCAAAGCCUACAGACGUGACACUGCAGGUGAAAGAAGAUCCUUGUUGUGGAAAGACGCUCACACAGGAAGCUCAUCCAGGAGAUACGGUUACCUUUACCUGUGAAUAUCCACAGGAGUCUAAAUAUCUCUCCAAAUACGUGUACAAAGCUACUGAUCACAGCUAUAGUGUGGUCAUACAUGUUCUUGGACUGUCAACACAAAAAGGGAGGUUUUCUCUUUUUGACCAUCCAGAAGAAAACCUCUUCAACGUGAGCAUCAGCGACGUGACUGAAGAGGAUGGAGGAGUUUACCUGUGUGGACUUCAGGGACAAAAGCCAGGAGAUCUGAACCCUUACUACUCCCUCUUCAAUGAAAUAUAGCUUCAGGUUACAGUUUUAAGAAUAUCUACAGUGCCCUCUGUCAUCGUCAUUGUGUGUGUCUGUGUGGUCUUGCUGCUGAUUGGAGGAUUAUUACUGAUCUGCAAACUGAGACGCAACAGGACAGAAGGUUCUCUCAACAUGCAUGUCAGCACAAAUAUCACAGUGAGUAAUCAUGG